AGACAUCAGAGGUCUCACACGGGGGAGAAGCCCUAUUCCUGCGUUGAGUGUGGACGAGGUUUUUCAGAGAGGAAGGAUCUGGUCAAUCAUCA